UACGUAGGGGGCGAGCGUUGUCCGGAAUCAUUGGGCGUAAAGCGCGUGUAGGCGGCCCGGUAAGUCCGCUGUGAAAGUCCAGGGCUCAACCCUGGGAUGCCGGUGGAUACUGUCGGGCUCGAGUCCGGAAGAGGCGAGUGGAAUUCCUGGUGUAGCGGUGAAAUGCGCAGAUAUCAAAGUGGAACACCAGUGGCGAAGGCGAGUCUCUGGACCGGGUAUUGACGCUG
rnacentral:rRNA from 1 species